GUUAAAAAUUGUAUUCCACCAAGCUACUGUACCUGCCAAGGAUUACAGAUAAACUACAAGCACUGAAUUUAGAACAACAUGAAAGAUUUUAACAACCAAAUACACAGGAGCUAGAAUUUCAAAUACACAGUGUAAAUCGUUGUAGAUAAACACAAAUAACUGUAAGGUCUGUCAAACAUUCCUAUCUGCCGUACAUGACAAACAUGCAUAACUAACAAAGUGAAAUAACCAAAGGAGAUUUCAAUUUUAUGCAUAUAUGCUCUCCCCGAUCCUGCACUGCUCAUACAUUGCCAUGCAUUUCAGUGAUAUUAAACACAAACGCUGAUGUUACGCGCAUCCAAACAUCUGAGUUGGGAAAGCACAAUAUAGAAAAGAUGAAGAUGCAGGCACAGAAAGCAAUGCCAGUACUCAGUGUAGGUAUCUAUAGCAUCGACCCAUACAGACUAUCAUCACUACAAUAGUGAAAUUCACUCAAGGGAUACAUAGGCAUGCACAAACCCUGCUUCUGUUGCUCAGCAUACCUUGUUUGAAUAGAUAAGUAGCAAAUUGAUCACAGAAACACAAUGAACUAUCCAGAAAAUGAGAAGAUCAGCCGUGGGGGACCAAUGGAAGCACACAGGUAUGGAAGAAGCAUGCACAGGCGUCCAGCCCCAUCCCCUGGAAUAACAAUACCCCGAUCUGCAGGGUGUAAGUCGCAGUUCGCCAGUCUGACACUACUGAAACCUGAGAAGAACUUUUUUCUUUUUUUCUUUUUUUUUUUUUCGUGCAAAACGUUAUGUAAUUUGCUCUCAUCCUGCACUGAUACAGAGGUGGCUUUCAAGAAGCCUUCACAUCCAGCCCAUCCAGCUGAGCUGCCAUGUUUCACACGGAACUGGAGCCAGAGCAUUUCAGAAGCUAGUUCUCCCAGUCCCUUUAACAAAUCAGUCAAUAAUCGAUGCACUGCUCCCCCCACCUUCCCCACUGCCCCAGUGCCCAACUUGUUGUCCCUCUCACUUCCCGCUGUGGGAAGCCACCGACUUGAAAGGAGGGAGUCUGGAUGGAAGUGGAGAAAGCAGGAGUCAGCGGGAGGAAGGGGAAUCGGAGCCACAGGGAAGGGAGGAUGCGCUGGGGAACCUGGAGGGGAGGGCAGAGGAGGGACAAGGGAGCAAGGAAGGGAAGACAGAAGGACAAGAGGGAGGGGGAAAACGGAGGGAGCAAGGAAGGGAAAGAGAAAGGGAUGGCUGAGCGGGUCAAGGAGGCCCCGGAGAGGGACCACAGGGAGUAGAGGACACGGAGCAGCUGCUGUUAAUUCCCACAGGCUCCUAGCCCGGGGGCAAUCCCAUGCCCGGAGGCGGCCCCACGUCCGCACCCCUCCGCUCCAUCCUUCCCUCCUCUUCCUCUGCUCCGGGGCCCGGCCGGUGCCGAGCGGGGGCACUGCGCGGCGCUGCCGGCGGGUCGCGAGCCCGACCAGGAGUGCAGGCACUACCGCAAUGUUUUGCCGCAACACGAUGGCCGGAGCCGGUUCGGCUGCUGCCGGCUCCCCUCUAUCGCGGGCGCCCCGUCGCCCUCUGCCUCCCGGCGGGGGAACGCAGGAGGGACGCGGGCGCUCACACACCGCGCACACUCCGGCUUGGAACGGGCACAGCGCGGCGAUGCAGCCCUCGUCCCUUCCAACCCUUCGCAACAAGAGAAGGUGA
rnacentral:lncRNA from 7 species